rnacentral:rRNA from 1 species
AAAGUUGUUGCAGUUAAAAAGCUCGUAGUUGAACCUUGGGCCUGGCUGGCCGGUCCGCCUCACGGCGUGCACUGGUCCGGCUGGGCCUUUCCUUCUGGGGAACCCCAUGGCCUUCACUGGCCGUGGGUGGAACCAGGACUUUUACUGUGAAAAAAUUAGAGUGUUCAAAGCAGGCCUUUGCUCGGAUACAUUAGCAUGGAAUAAUAGAAUAGGACGUGUGGUUCUAUUUUGUUGGUUUCUAGGACCGCCGUAAUGAUUAAUAGGGAUAGUCGGGGGCGUCAGUAUUCGGCUGUCAGAGGUGAAAUUCUUGGAUUUGCUGAAGACUAACUACUGCGAAAGCAUUCGCCAAGGAUGUUUUCAUUAAUCAGU